AUUCUCCUCCAUGCUGCUGCGAGAGCCCAGGAUGGGAUAUACCAAAGCCUGCAUGUCCACGGGAGGGUCCUCGUCCGGAGGUCAGUCCAAUUGCGUUCCAAUUCAUGGUGUGGAAGGGGACAGAAGUCAGGUAACACAAUGUCUUGGGA